rnacentral:rRNA from 1 species
AAUCCAUAGGUUAAUGAGGCGAACCGGGGGAACUGAAACAUCUAAGUACCCCGAGGAAAAGAAAUCAACCGAGAUUCCCCCAGUAGCGGCGAGCGAACGGGGAGGAGCCCAGAGCCUGAAUCAGCAUGUGUGUUAGUGGAAGCGUCUGGAAAGGCGCGCGAUACAGGGUGAGAGCCCCGUACACAAAAGCGCACGUGCUGUGAGCUCGAUGAGUAGGGCGGGACACGUGGUAUCCUGUCUGAAUAUGGGGGGACCAUCCUCCAAGGCUAAAUACUCCUGACUGACCGAUAGUGAACCAGUACCGUGAGGGAAAGGCGAAAAGAACCCCGGCGAGGGGAGUGAAACAGAACCUGAAACCGUGUACGUACAAGCAGUGGGAGCCCCACCACUAAGCCAGUGGUGAACUCCACAUACGCA